CUGCGGAGGAUCAUUGUCGAAACCUGCCCGCCAGCAGAACGACCCGCGAACCCGUUGGUUUGAGAAAACGAACGACGGGAGGGGCAGCGCGAGCUCCCCGCCCGCCCACCUGCGCCGCGGGGGUCGGAGGCGUCCCGUCCGCGGGCGUCGGCCCGCGCCCCCGCGGUGCCACAACGAACCCGGCGCGGACCGCGCCAAGGAAACCAUAACGGGAGAGCCCGUCGAGCGUCCRCGCCCCGGAGACGGCGCGCGUGCGAUCGGCGGCGCCUUCUUUGAUUAUCCAAAACGACUCUCGGCAACGGAUAUCUAGGCUCUCGCAUCGAUGAAGAACGUAGCGAAAUGCGAUACUUGGUGUGAAUUGCAGAAUCCCGUGAACCAUCGAGUCUUUGAACGCAAGUUGCGCCCCAAGCCUUUAGGCCGAGGGCACGUCUGCCUGGGUGUCACGCAUCGUCGCCCCCCCGGAGGAGCGCGGGCGGGGCGGAGACUGGCCUCCCGUGCGCCUCGCGGCUCGCGGUUGGCCCAAAUCCGAGUCCCCCGGCCUCGCGUGCCGCGGCUUUCGGUGGUCGAAAGAAACCCGAUGCCCGGUCGCGCCCGCGUGGCCGCACGACAGGACCCCGCGACCCCGACGCGUCGUCCGUACGGCGACGCUCGCCACGCGACCCCAGGUCAGG
rnacentral:rRNA from 1 species